CCUACGGGACGCAGCAGUGGGGAAUUUUGGACAAUGGGCGAAAGCCUGAUCCAGCAAUGCCGCGUGUGUGAAGAAGGCCUUCGGGUUGUAAAGCACUUUUGUCCGGAAAGAAAUCCUCUGGGUUAAUACCUCGGGGGGAUGACGGUACCGGAAGAAUAAGCACCGGCUAACUACGUGCCAGCAGCCGCGGUAAUACGUAGGGUGCAAGCGUUAAUCGGAAUUACUGGGCGUAAAGCGUGCGCAGGCGGUUUUGUAAGACGGAUGUGAAAUCCCCGGGCUUAACCUGGGAACUGCAUUCGUGACUGCAAGGCUAGAGUAUGGCAGAGGGGGGUAGAAUUCCACGUGUAGCAGUGAAAUGCGUAGAGAUGUGGAGGAAUACCGAUGGCGAAGGCAGCCCCCUGGGCCAAUACUGACGCUCAUGCACGAAAGCGUGGGGAGCA
rnacentral:rRNA from 1 species